rnacentral:rRNA from 1 species
UACGUAGGGUGCAAGCGUUGUCCGGAAUUAUUGGGCGUAAAGAGCUCGUAGGCGGCCUGUCGCGUCGGCUGUGAAAACCCGGGGCUCAACCCCGGGCCUGCAGUCGAUACGGGCAGACUAGAGUCCGGCAGGGGAGACUGGAAUUCCUGGUGUAGCGGUGAAAUGCGCAGAUAUCAGGAGGAACACCGGUGGCGAAGGCGGGUCUCUGGGCCGGAACUGACGCUAAGGAGCGAAAGCGUGGGGAGCGAACAGG